rnacentral:lncRNA from 1 species
AAAAUCCUAAAACUCUCUCUCCCCUCUCUUUCUCCGUUCCUCUCUCCGGCCAGGGCUCGGUCGCCGGCGCCGCUGUAUGCGGCGGUCGAAGGGCCAAAAAAAUCUAUUUUUUUCAGGCGAUUUGAUAGCAGGUAAUGUUCUCUUUUUCUACUUUCUGUCAAUAUGUAUGGAUGUAUGCGUAAUAUAUAAACAAAUACCUAUGUUAGUGGAUGGUUUCGAAAAAAAGAAAAAUAAAUAAAAAAGAAAACUUGGCUUUCCUUUUCUGUUUGUGACUUUCUUUUUGCGUGAAUCUGUUGUUUUUUUGUAUUUUUAAGUAACACUUUGUAUAAAAAAACACCGGAAGAAACAGAUUAUAGCCAAGUUCGGCUUUUAUACAUCUUUAUUACUAGUGCUGUCGUUUCUCUUUAAAUGUUUGCAGGUACUUGAUGGCACGACAAUGGCGGUGGAGCAGAGGGCAGAGGUAAGUGCACCACUUGCUAUGACGUGACAGGUGCUGUGGCACUAGGGUUUCAAUCUCUAAAAAACUAGUUUACUCUUUGCUGGGUUUGGGCUUAGUCCUUUAGUUUGGGCCCCAGGUGUAAUUGGGUUUGAGUAAAAUUGGG